GCCCUAGUAGCUCAGAGAAUAGAGCGCCGGUCUUGUAAGCCGAAUGUCGAGGGUUAAAAUCCCCCCUAGUGCU
rnacentral:tRNA from 1 species